rnacentral:rRNA from 1 species
GACGAACGCUGGCGGCGUGCCUAAUACAUGCAAGUAGAACGCUGAAGGAGGAGCUUGCUCUUCUGGAUGAGUUGCGAACGGGUGAGUAACGCGUAGGUAACCUGCCUGGUAGCGGGGGAUAACUAUUGGAAACGAUAGCUAAUACCGCAUAACAGUAGAUGUUGCAUGACAUUUACUUAAAAGGUGCAAUUGCAUCACUACCAGAUGGACCUGCGUUGUAUUAGCUAGUUGGUGGGGUAACGGCUCACCAAGGCGACGAUACAUAGCCGACCUGAGAGGGGGAUCCACCAAACUGGGAACUAGAAAAGGCCCAAAGUGCCUCAGGAGGCAGCAAGAGGGAAACUUAGGUAAUGGGCAGAAGUAGGAACGAGGAACGCCGCGGGGGGGAAGAAGGGUAUAGGAUCGUAAAGCUAGGUUGAAAGGGAAGAAAGAGAGGGAGAGUGGAAAGUUCAAAGUGUGACGGUAACUUAAGAAAAAGCGACGGCUAACUACGUG